UACGUAGGGUGCGAGCGUUGUCCGGAAUUACUGGGCGUAAAGAGCUCGUAGGUGGUUUGUCGCGUUGUUCGUGAAAACUCACAGCUCAACUGUGGGCGUGCGGGCGAUACGGGCAGACUGGAGUACUGCAGGGGAGACUGGAAUUCCUGGUGUAGCGGUGGAAUGCGCAGAUAUCAGGAGGAACACCGGUGGCGAAGGCGGGGUCUCUGGGCAGUAACUGACACUGAGGAGCGAAAAGCGUGGGGGAGCGAACAGG
rnacentral:rRNA from 1 species